UACGUAGGCAGCGAGCGUUGUUCGGAAUUACUGGGCGUAAAGAGUGUGUAGGCGGUGCUCUAAGUUUGGUGUGAAAUCUCCCGGCUCAACCGGGAGGCUGCAUUGAAUACUGGAAUGCUAGAGGGUGGGAGAGGUAAGCGGAAUUCCUGGUGUAGCGGUGAAAUGCGUAGAUAUCAGGAGGAACACCGGUGGCGAAAGCGGGUCUCUGGGCCGAUACUGACGCUGAGGAGCGAAAGCGUGGGGAGCGAACAGG
rnacentral:rRNA from 1 species